UACGUAGGGGGCAAGCGUUGUCCGGAUUUAUUGGGCGUAAAGAGCGUGUAGGCGGCUUUACAGGUCCGUUGUGAAAACUCGAGGCUCAACCUCGAGACGCCGGUGGAAACCGUAAGGCUAGAGUCCGGAAGAGGAGAGUGGAAUUCCACGUGUAGCGGUGAAAUGCGUAGAGAUGUGGAGGAACACCAGUGGCGAAGGCGACUCUUUGGCCUGUAACUGACGCUGAGGCGCGAAAGCGUGGGGAGCAAACAGG
rnacentral:rRNA from 1 species